UUGCCUAUUUUAGUUUUUGUUUUUACGGUCACGAAUUUCGAAACUACCAAUCAGGAAGCUGUUUCAUUCCUAACAGUAAAAUGGCUUCUUUUUAUUACGACUUGUGAUGUUCGUUAGCCAUCGUUUCCCAACACACGCGAUAGACAGUUUACAUACACAUAGAAUCGUUAUUACGUUUGCAAACGUAUACGAUGCGAACGGACGUUUAAUAUCUGACGUGUUUGUUUACCUGCAUGAAGUUUUCUCGGUUGGAUACGUGAGUGAAUACGUAUUUAGGUAAGUUAUAAUGUGAAAAUCGCGUAUUUUCAUCUAUUAAAUGUAUUUCACCUGUUUGUUUUUCUUUAAGGAAUGUUCGCUGUAGUACAACUAAUUGAAAACCAAAAAUUCAAGGUGCUGGUUGUCCCCGUUUCUUGGAUAAGGAAUGGAGUACUCCUUUGGCCAAAACUGCUUUCCGAACAAAAAAUUGAAGAGCUGAGAAUAAACGGAACAGCCUAUAAGGGAGCUACAAAGCAAAUUCCUGUGAUCGUCAACGAGAGAUACAAAAAGCUCGCAACCGCGGAAGCUGCAGCGGAUGACCUUGCUAUGAAGGAAGUUUCAGACGUCGAUGGCAAAAAGAAAAGGUUAAAACCUGAGAAAAAGAAGAAAGCCGCUGCUGUGAAGACUAUAACAAGCUUUUUGCAGAAAUUAGUAAUGUUAACAGCUCGACACAAUCAUUGGAACCAGUGAAACAUCGGACUAUUGAAGAUACCGUAGUGGGUCAGUCACAAUCCUGUAAAACCGGCUCGUCGAUACAUGUUACACCAUUUGAGCAAAAGCUCAUUCCAACUACAGUUCUAAAAGUUCAAGUGGGCGGAAAUAGUUCAAGUCUCCAGAAUUCAGCUCAAGAAAUCAACUGUUGUAAUAAUGAACGUGAAAUUUCUACAACACAGUUAAAACAAACAACAGUUAUAGAAGAGAUGGAAUUAAAUCAUACACAAUGUGAGAACUCCGCAGUUGCUGAAUCGCAAAAUAUACUUUAUUCAAUUCCUUCAUAUCCGUCGAUCAAACCAGAUUCUGUAUAUGUAACUGAUGGUGGUUUGAUUCACUUGACUGACCCACACGAAUUAUCAGCACCAAUUCUUACAUUGUCAGAUUUUCAAAAGGAAAUGGAUGUUUUGAAGCAGGAUUUCAGCGUUCUUAUACUAACAAA